GAUUAUGGCUCAGGAUGAACGCUAGCUACAGGCUUAACACAUGCAAGUCGAGGGGCAGCGAGAAGGAAGCUUGCUUCUUGUCGGCGACCGGCGCACGGGUGAGUAACGCGUAUCCAACCUUCCCCUUAGUAGGGCAUAGCCCGUAGAAAUGCGGAUUAAUACCCUAUGUUAUUCGUCGAUGACAUCUGAAGUGAAUCAAAGGUUUACCGCUAAGGGAUGGGGAUGCGUCUGAUUAGGCAGCAGGCGGGGUAACGGCCCACCUGGCCUACGAUCAGUAGGGGUUCUGAGAGGAAGGUCCCCCACAUUGGAACUGAGACACGGUCCAAACUCCUACGGGAGGCAGCAGUGAGGAAUAUUGGUCAAUGGGCGCGAGCCUGAACCAGCCAAGUAGCGUGCAGGAUGAACCGGCCCUAUGGGUUGUAAACUGCUUUUAUGCGGGGAUAAAGUGCGGCACGUGUGCCGCUUUGCAGGUACCGCAUGAAUAAGGACCGGCUAAUUCCGUGCCAGCAGCUGC
rnacentral:rRNA from 1 species